UGGGAGCUUGGUACACAGACUGGGCUGAAGGACUGCUCUGAUUGUCCCUGUACCUCCCUAGGAUAAACUGCCUUUGAUGACCAAGACUAACGCAGUUAAAUCUUUAAUGGGCAGAUACGUGCAGACAGUU
ensembl:scaRNA